rnacentral:rRNA from 1 species
GGGGAAUAUUGCACGAUGGGGGAAACCCUGAUGCAGCAACGCCGCGUGAGUGAUGAAGGCCUUCGGGUUGUAAAGCUCUAUCAGCAGGGAAGAAAAUGACGGUACCUGACUAAGAAGCCCCGGCUAACUACGUGCCAGCAGCCGCGGUAAUACGUAGGGGGCAAGCGUUAUCCGGAUUUACUGGGUGUAAAGGGAGCGUAGACGGCGACGCAAGUCUGGCGUGAAAGCCCGGGGCCCAACCCCGGGACUGCUUUGGAAACUGUGCUGCUGGAGUGCAGGAGAGGUAAGUGGAAUUCCUAGUGUAGCGGUGAAAUGCGUAGAUAUUAGGAGGAACACCAGUGGCGAAGGCGGCUUACUGGACUGUAACUGACGUUGAGGCUCGAAAGCGUGGGGAGCAAAC